rnacentral:rRNA from 1 species
GGUUACUGCUAUCGGUGUUCGCCUAAGCCAUGCGAGUCAUAUGUUCUUCGGAACAUGGCGUACUGCUCAGUAACACGUGGAUAACCUGCCCUUGGGUCCGGCAUAACCCCGGGAAACUGGGGAUAAUUCCGGAUAACGCACAUAUGCUGGAAUGCUUUAUGCGUCAAAUGGAUUCGUCCGCCCAAGGAUGGGUCUGCGGCCUAUCAGGUAGUAGUGGGUGUAAUGUACCUACUAGCCUACGACGGGUACGGGUUGUGAGAGCAAGAGCCCGGAGAUGGAUUCUGAGACAUGAAUCCAGGCCCUACGGGGCGCAGCAGGCGCGAAAACUUUACAAUGCGGGAAACCGUGAUAAGGGGACACCGAGUGCCAGCAUCAUAUGCUGGCUGUCCGGGUGUGUAAAAUACACCUGUUAGCAAGGGCCGGGCAAGACCGGUGCCAGCCGCCGCGGUAACACCGGCGGCCCGAGUGGCGAUCGUGAUUAUUGGGUCUAAAGGGUCCGUAGCCGGUUUGGUCAGUCCUCCGGGAAAUCUGACGGCUUAACCGUUAGGCUUUCGGGGGAUACUGCCAGACUUGGAACCGGGAGAGGUAAGAGGUACUACAGGGGUAGGAGUGAAAUCUUGUAAUCCCUGUGGGACCACCUGUGGCGAAGGCGUCUUACCAGAACGGGUUCGACGGUGAGGGACGAAAGCUGGGGGCACGAACCGGAUUAGAUACCCGGGUAGUCCCAGCCGUAAACGAUGCUCGCUAGGUGUCAGGCAUGGCGCGACCGUGUCUGGUGCCGCAGGGAAGCCGUGAAGCGAGCCACCUGGGAAGUACGGCCGCAAGGCUGAAACUUAA